GAUGCCUAACCUGCAGUCGAAGAGAAGUGGAGCACUCCUGAGUAAAGUGGCGACCGGGUGAGUAACACGUGACUAACCUACCUCCGAGUGGGGAAUAACUCCGGGAAACCGGGGCUAAUACCGCAUAACAUCGCAAGAUCAAAGCAGCAAUGCGCUUGGAGAGGGGGUCGCGGCUGAUUAGCUAGUUGGCGGGGUAACGGCCCACCAAGGCGAAGAUCGGUAUCCGGCCUGAGAGGGCGCACGGACACACUGGAACUGAAACACGGUCCAGACUCCUACGGGAGGCAGCAGUGGGGAAUUUUGCGCAAUGGGGGAAACCCUGACGCAGCAACGCCGCGUGGAGGAUGAAGCCCUUUGGGGCGUAAACUCCUUUCGACUCGGACGAUGAUGACGGUACGAGUGGAAGAAGCACCGGCUAACUCUGUGCCAGCAGCCGCGGUAAUACAGAGGGUGCAAGCGUUGUUCGGAAUUAUUGGGCGUAAAGGGCGCGUAGGCGGUGCCACAAGUCACCUGUGAAAUCUCCGGGCUUAACUCGGAGCCUGCAGGCGAAACUGUGGUGCUGGAAUGUGGGAGAGGUGCGUGGAAUUCCCGGUGUAACGGUGAAAUGCGUAGAUAUCGGGAGGAACCCCUGUGGCGAAAGCGGCGCACUGGACCAUAACUGACGCUGAGGCCCGAAAGCUAGGGGAGCAAACAGGAUUAAAUACCCCGGGUAUCCCUACCCUUAACCAUGAAUGCUUGGUGUACCAGGUACCCAAUCCUGGUGGGCCCCAACUAACGCCAAAAACAAAUCCCCUGGGAGAGUACGGUCCCAAGGCUUGAAACUCCAGGAAAUGGACGGGGGGCCGCCCAAGCGGGGGAAGCAUGUGAUUUAAUUCAACCCCACGCCA
rnacentral:rRNA from 1 species